GUCCGGCCGGUUACAGGAAACAGAAACUCCACGCAGAACUGGAAUUUCUGUUUCCUGUAACCGGCCGGAC